rnacentral:rRNA from 1 species
UACGGAGGGUGCAAGCGUUAUCCGGAUUCACUGGGUUUAAAGGGUGCGUAGGUGGGCUAGUAAGUCCGUGGUGAAAUCUCCAAGCUUAUCUUGGAAACUGCCGUGGAUACUAUUAGUCUUGAAUAUUGUGGAGGUAAGCGGAAUAUGUCAUGUAGCGGUGAAAUGCUUAGAUAUGACAUAGAACACCGAUAGCGAAGGCAGCUUGCUACACAAUCAUUGACACUGAGGCACGAAAGCGUGGGGAGCAAACAGG